GGCAGCUCCAUGCCCUGAGCUGCUCAAGGGCUGUCACUCGUUGUCCCUGUCAGGAUCACCUCCAGGUGUCUCAGCCCAGAGAGCAGCCCCAGCUCCUAACCCAUCUUUGCUUCAUUCCUGAGGGUUCUGCACGCCCGUCUAAGGGUCUGCUGCAGGGAAAGGGGUGCCCCAAAGUCUCUGACGGGUUGAGGUCCCUCUUAAGCAAUGGGAGGGUGCCUUUGGAGCCUCCCCAGCUCUCCAGUGUGUGCCGCUGGAAGCCCGCAGCACUGCAGGGGCAGCUCCAUGCCCUGAGCUGCUCAAGGGCUGUCACUCGUUGUCCCUGUCCCCCCUGCAGCGCUCAGCCCCUCGCUGCUGGCGGCUCUCGCCCUCACCCCGCUCCCUCCUUUAGGGCUGCCCGUGCCGGCGGUGACCCCAAGGCUGCCAUGUGGCCCCUGGCGCUGUCGGCCAGCGAGGUGCUGCUGGCGGCCGCCGCCUUCUGCCUGGUGUUCCUGCUGGUGCAGCGGCUGCGGCCGGCCGUGCCCGCGGGGCUGCGGCGGCCGCCGGGCCCGCGGGGCAUUCCCGUGCUGGGGAACGUGCUGGAGCUGCGCAGGGACACGCACCUGGCGCUGACGCGGCUGAGCCGGCGCUACGGGGACGUGAUGGAGGUGCGCAUCGGGACACGGCCCGUGCUGGUGCUCAGCGGGCUGGACACCAUCCGCCAAGCCCUGGUCAAGCAGGGAGACGACUUCAUGGGGCGUCCCGACCUGCCCAGCUUCCACUACAUCUCCAACGGGCAGAGCCUGGCGUUCAGCCCCGACUCCGGGGAGGUGUGGAAAGCGCGCAGGAAGCUGGCCCAGAGCGCCCUGAAGAGCUUCUCGGUGGCGCCCAGCCCCACCUCGUCCUGCAGCUGCCUGCUGGAGGAGCACGUCUCCAAGGAGGCCGAGUACCUGGUCACCAAGUUCCUGCAGCUGAUGGAGGAGCAGAAGGGGUUUGACCUCAACCAGUACCUGGUGGUGUCGGUGGCCAACGUCAUCUGUGCCAUGUGCUUCGGCAAGCGCUACGAGCACGAGGACCAGGAGCUGCUCAGCCUGGUGAACCUGGGCAACGAGUUUGGGGAGGUGGCCGGGAGUGGCCACCCCACCGACUUCAUCCCCCUGCUCCGCUACCUGCCCAGCCGCACCAUGGAGGCCUUCAAGGACAUCAACCGGCGCUUCAACGCCUUCGUGCAGAAAAUUGUGCAGGAGCAUUACAGCACCUUCGAUAAGGAGCACAUCCGGGACAUCACGGACUCGCUGAUCGGGCACUGCCAGGAGAACAGCGCCGGGGAGGACGCCCGGGUGCAGCUCUCCGACGAGAAGAUCAUCCACAUCGUCAACGACCUCUUUGGGGCAGGCUUUGACACUGUGGCUACAGCCCUGUCCUGGAGCCUCAUGUACGUUGCUUUGUACCCUGAUGUCCAGAAGAAGAUCCAGGAGGAGCUGGACCGCACCAUCGGGCGGGAGAGGCGGCCGCGGCUCUCGGACCGGGGCACGCUGCCCUACACGGAAGCCUUCAUCCUGGAGAUGUUCAGGCAUUCCUCCUUCCUGCCCUUCACCAUCCCACACAGCACAACAAAAGCAACAGUCUUGAAUGGCUACUACAUCCCCAAGGACACCUGUGUGUUCAUCAACCAGUGGCAAGUGAACCACGAUGAGGCGCUGUGGAAGGACCCCUCCUCCUUCAGGCCCGAGCGGUUCCUGAGCGCGGCGGGCGCGGAGCUGAGCCGUGCCGAGGGGGACAAGGUCCUGUCCUUCGGGCUGGGCCGGCGUCGCUGCCUGGGCGAGACCAUCGGCCGCUGGGAGAUCUUCCUCUUCCUCACCACGCUGCUGCAGCAGCUGCACUUCAGCCUGCGGCCCGGCGAGCCCGUGGACAUCACCCCCCAGUACGGACUGACCAUGAAGUACAAGAAGUGCGAGGCCUUCCAGAUCCGGCAGAGAUUCCCCGUCGGGAGCUCUCCGUGAGCUGGCAGGGUGGUUCCUCUUCCCAGCCCCAUCAGCCCUUCCCAUGUGGAUGAAGAUCCCCUGAGGUGUCUUGGAGAGGUCCAGCCCAUGGUGGGGAGGAGAAUGCUGGAGGUGGGACGUCCUCUGCCAGCCAUGAGCAGCUCCCUCCAUCCAGACAGAAAUAAACCUCUCUGUGGAUCCUGCCCAGCCUUAUCCCACUGAAAUCCUCUUUCCCAGCUCAUUAUCCCACUGGGAACAGAUCCUUUCCAAAGUUUCCAGAGCCUUCAGCAGAGCCCAUCUCGAGGGGACCCAUCCUGGGUGCACCCACGCACCUGAAUUCCUUGAACGUAAACUCAUGGAGUGAAUUCCUGAGUAGGAAUUAACUGAUUUAAGACAAAAAUAAUCCACCAGCAAAGCUGCUCACAAACUGAGGUUUUAAAUAAUCCCUACCAUGAAGCCUCCAGGAAAAUCUUGAAGGAAAAAGGGAACUGCAGGACACUCCUGGCUUUCAGACUAACUCUGCACUUGCUGCCUUUUUUAAUAUCAGGGAUUUUUUUUUUCUUUAUCAAGCAAUAGAUUUCUAUAUCCAGGUUGAGGGGCUUUCAGGACUGCAGGAGGUGCCUUUUGCUGCCUUCAGCUUCGGCCAGUGAAGCCUUGUGGCAAAGGGAGCAGCAAUUCCUGCCUGUUUGUGCCUGUUUGGGGUGCAGCUGUGUGGCCACACCAUAUUUCUAACCCAAUAAAUUCUUACAUGAACCUC